rnacentral:rRNA from 1 species
UACGUAGGGGGCAAGCGUUGUCCGGAUUCAUUGGGCGUAAAGAGCGUGUAGGCGGCCAGGUAGGUCGGUUGUGAAAACUGGAGGCUCAACCUUCAGAGGUCGACCGAAACCAUCUGGCUAGAGUCCGGGAGAGGAAAGUGGAAUUCCUGGUGUAGCGGUGAAAUGCGCAGAUAUCAGGAAGAACACCCGUGGCGAAAGCGGCUCUCUGGACCGGUACUGACGCUGAGACGCGAAAGCGUGGGGAGCGAACAGG